rnacentral:lncRNA from 1 species
AAAAUGGCUUCCUUUGUGCCUCUUUGUGAUGAGUGUUGAGUGGUCAGGGUGAUAUGCUGGAAAGUAAGUGGGCAGGCAGGCAAGGUCAUAUUGGGCAAAGGCACUGGGCGAUGGAUAUAGGAGUUAAUAAUUUUAUUUUCUCAGCUUUUAUUUGUUUGGAGUUUCAUAUAAUAAAAAGCCAAGAAAAAUAUUGAAGAGUCCCCCAAAAUGGCACUCUUCAAAUAAGUGAAGAGGAUUCUUUUUAGUUAGGUUUAUUUAUUUUGAUGACAGGAAUAAUAUCUAUUUCAAUAAAAUACCGCGGGGCUGACCAUACAAGAAAUCAAGCACUAGAGAAAGUCCCGAGGCAGAGGAUUCGUGCUGAAGGUGGAGCCCUUGGCUGGAGGGGCUGUCGCUGACCAGCCAGACUCCAUGUCACUGGAGUGGGCCAGCUGAGCCUCUGCUCUGCUGUGGGGAGAAGCGGCGUCCUUGGGUGUGUGGCUGAGUUUGCAUCUCUGCAGUCUGGGGAGCCUGUGAGUCGGGGGCCGGCCUGGGCAGGGCCUCCUCUCGGGGGACUUUAGAGAGGAAAGCAAAACGGAAAGGAAGAUUGUGGUUCAUUUGUAGGGCCUGAGUGGAGACUGUCUGCUGACGUGCCCGAUCACUGUCUCAUCUGCCUGUAAACCAAAUGUGUCUAUGUGUAUGAAAUAGACUUUAUUAAGUCAGAAAUAGAUAGCAGGUGUUUUCCACUAACACCUACAUGUAUUUUAGAGAGGUGUGGUUGG